rnacentral:rRNA from 1 species
UACAGAGGUCCCAAGCGUUGUUCGGAUUCACUGGGCGUAAAGGGUGCGUAGGCGGUCGGGUAAGUCUGAUGUGAAAUCUCACAGCUUAACUGUGAAACUGCAUUGGAUACUAUUCGGCUUGAGAGUUGGAGGGGGGACUGGAAUUCUUGGUGUAGCAGUGAAAUGCGUAGAUAUCAGGAAGAACACCCGUGGCGAAGGCGGCUCUCUGGGACGGUACUGACGCUGCGACGCGAAAGCGUGGGGAGAGAACAGG